rnacentral:lncRNA from 1 species
CCCAAGUCAUGCUAGAUUUUUUUUGUGAAUUUUGACACAGCAAGCACAAAAGGUUGCCCAUCAUUGCCCUAGGCCACCGGAGGCUCCUAUUAUAUGCACACAUAUAAUCCAAACCUAAAGCACAAAUGAAAAACAAAACAAAAAGCAAGGGAGUAAAAAUAUAAUCAGUUCUGAUCAAUCCUAAUUUCUAAAAUUGCUCUCUUGACUUCAGGGGAUUUAAUGCUUUAAUUGAAAUGGCAGAUCUAUCUGUGUCCUUGUUAAAACCAAACGGUUGGUGCCUGUUCCUGCACAGACUCCAAAAAAUAAUAUCUUGGCGAUGGAAGGGUUAAGGAGACAACAAAAGGUUGUUUCUAAUUCCAGUGUGAGCAUUCUCAGUGAUGCACUCUGAAAAUCCAUCCUGCCAUGCUGAAAUCCUAAAUUGCCGGUGCCUUGCACCCUACCGCAACAUUUCAGUCUGCUGGAAAGGUUGCCGCAACUGUUGCUAUGGCCAAAAGCUUGGAUCUGCCUGUACCUGUCCAACAAUAAACCGCACCAGGGGAGGACUUCGGGUGAGCCGAACACCUCGGUCACACGCUAAGCAAACUCCCAACAGGGUUGUUGAAGACACCAGAAUUCUUUUCCUACCUUGUAGCAUCCCACUUUCCUCCAAAACGUCCUUCCUGGGCUGUGGUGCAGGCUGA